rnacentral:misc_RNA from 1 species
CGCCUGGUAUCUCUUGCUACAAUCAGUUGUUUUUUCAAGGAACUUAAUAGAUCAUUAGCUUUUCCACAGGAUACACAGUAAAAGGUGCCAUUAUUGCCCUUGUCUGAUUUAUCAGUUGUAAUACAAGAUUUUCCGUGCUUCAUGGCACACUCAAGGUGGCAUGACAUCCCACAUGAAUCCCCUUGAAAAGGAGGUUCUGAGCUGCAAAUCAACCAUAGACUAGGGUCCUUGUUGUCAUCGUAGUUACGGCAAAUACAACAUGAACACCUUUUGCAAAAUGCAUCUUGG